UACGAAGGGGGCUAGCGUUGCUCGGAAUCACUGGGCGUAAAGGGCGCGUAGGCGGGCCUUUAAGUCAGGGGUGAAAUCCUGGAGCUCAACUCCAGAACUGCCUUUGAUACUGAGGAUCUUGAGUUCGGGAGAGGUGAGUGGAACUGCGAGUGUAGAGGUGAAAUUCGUAGAUAUUCGCAAGAACACCAGUGGCGAAGGCGGCUCACUGGCCCGAUACUGACGCUGAGGCAUGAAAGCGUGGGGAGCAAACAGG
rnacentral:rRNA from 1 species